UUUUGAGAAUAAGCAUGAUGAAAAAGAAAUCUCUGAUUCAAGACGUGUUGAUUCUUCUUCCAUGAAGAAAGCCAGAGUAGUUUGCACUGUCGAUCUUCAUCAAAAAUUUGUCAAGGCUGUAAACCAGAUUGGAUUUGACGUGAUAUAAGUUACAAGUGAAGAGAAAUGAAAGACACACACGCAUACACACAGAAAACAUUGAACAUUAGCUCGAGAAUUCAUGAAGUGCUGUUGCCUGGACAUGUGUCGUGAAGAAGAUCGAUAAAUUUAAGUAUGUUAUAUAUUUUUCCCCUUCUCUAUGUUUCAACAUGAUCAAAUGUGCUUUUAUAACUGUCUAAAAACUGAAACUAUGGGAGGUUAAUUUUAAAUUUAUUUUAUUCUUUAUCUUAUUUCAAAUCCUCCUCUUUGCAUCCGAGAUGAGAAGUAUAAGUUAAAAAUCAAGAAUUAAAUUAUUAUUAUAUUGCCCUUCAUAGCUCAACAAACUAAAGGCAGAACUUCAGCUUCCAAUACAAUAGAGGGUAAUUGUGAAAAAAGAGUAGGGACUUCAAAUUGCUUAUAUGAAGAGGUUGAAUUCUUUAUUGUGAAAGUUGAGUUCUCAUAAACUUUUAUUCAGAAUUGAGAGUUAUUAGUACUUUUAGUUCAUCGAUAAAAGUUGUCCACCUGCCAGAUAUAAGUUAUUAUUCCAAAAUUGCUUCUCUUUCUCACUUUCCCAGUGUUUGAGCUGACGGCCUGGUAUAAUUAUGAUUCUAAUCUAUUAUCAAGGUAUUGUAGACUUUGCACAUCAAUCCAAGUAGCAGUCAUUGUGGCAAAGGUUGCUUUGCACUAGAAAUAUGUUAACAAACAGCGAUAAUUGAAAUCAUCUUCCUAAAACUUGGAUUUGUAGACAUUAGGUUGUUUGAGUUAUUUCUUAAAGAUAUUUUUAAAUUUAGCAAUUCUUUUAAUCAGUUGGUCAUUGGGACAACUCUGGUGGAGAAGUUGAAGGAUUUUGUGCUAGAACUAGAGUUUUCAUAAGAGGGAAUCAUCCAGUUGAGGAUCUAGUAUUCUUGCCUUCUCCGGUGAGUGACAAUUGAGUUGUUUUUUUUGCUAUAUUGUCACAGGUUGAUUGUUGUAUGUGAGCUUAUUGUACUUGAUAUGAAUUGGGUUGUUAGUUAGUUUCUUGUACAAUUGAUCAGUACAUAAUUGAUGUUUAUAUUAAAAAAAAAAAAAAAAAGGGCAGCCCGGUGCACUAAGCAUAGCGCGAGGUCUGGGGAAGGGCCGGACCACAAGGGUCUAUUGUAUGCAGCCUUACCUUGCAUUUCUACAAGAGGCUGUUCCCACGGCUCGAACCUGUGACUUCCUGGUCACAUGGCAGCAACUUUACCAGUUACGCCAAGGCUCCCCUUCAAUUGAUGUUUAUAUUAAUAUCUUAAAAAUAUACUACAUUGUUUCCGUUCCUUGCCUCUAUAAUACUUUCUUAUAGAAUGUUAGUAACGAUGUUUUGCAAAAUCUGCAGGAAGUUGAUGGAGCAUCAUAUGAUCCUAAGUUAGAUAUAUAACAUGAAAAUUAUGCUCCCAAUUAAUUAUUAUCUGGUUCCACUUUUAUCUCUGAUUGACCAUGCAGGAUUUAUUUGUCGUGUGAUACAAGCUAAGUUUGAGCUAACAUUAAGAUGAAUUUACUUGAUGACUACUGCUUUCUUACAACAAUAUAUAUCGACCAUACUGCAUGGCAGUUGAAAAAAUAUGGACAAAAUAAAAUUAAUUUUGUAAUGUUUAGUAAAGUAUGUGGGAUUUCACUGGGUAUGUUGUUGUAACACUUAGUCAAAUAUGGAAGAAUUUCCAAAGAAUCUCAAUAUAUUUUGCAGCCACCUAUUCUCCUUUGUCAUAUAAUUUAGCCCAUGGUACGACCAAGAGCAAUUCCGUAAAUUACACUGGGUAUCCUGAUCCACACGUGGGCCUUUUGAGUUUCCACGGGGUACUGCAAAAGAUAUCCAGUUGCAUUCACUCUUAUACCUUCGCUAAACCAAAAAGGCUCUGUUUUUUCAGAGAAGAAAAAGGUAUGUUUCUCUUUCUGAGUUUCUGUAUAGUUCUUUCUUUUGCUUUCUCAAUUUCUUCUUCUUCGUUUCCUUUGUUUAAGGGGCAUUUUGGUACUUCAUUAGCUUUAAAACACAUUUUCUUCUUUCCUAAAUCUAUAUAGACAUCUUUCUUACUGUUGCAGUUCAUGGAAGAUAUGCUGCUGGAUUCCUCAAAUUCUGCUAUAGUGACACUUUAUGUUGGCUCAAGAGGCAACUUGAGGAUUCUUGUGAGCCUGCACAAGGGCUGGCCUCACUCUGAUUUUUCGGUGAACGUGUGGUAGGGUACUCCUUUCCGUUUGGGUAGCAUGCAUAUUCAAGUACUGUUAUGUGCAUAAGAAAUGGAUUCUGCAUCAUUUAGCUCCAGAACACACAGCUCCUUCAAGGAAGUGGCUAAAUGGAAUAUCUGUGUGUUCACACAACUCUUUUAAUGGCCCGGAGUCUUUUUUAAAGCUAUAAUGGAGCACAAACAUGGAUCUGCCAUGGACAAUGUUUUGAAUACAUAUGUUAGCACAUAAUAGGCACCUCCAGAUUGAUUACUCAAGCAAGUAUUUGUUGGACAAAUAGUUUAAUAUUCUAUUCCAGUAUUUUUUAGUUGUUGCACUACUUCAUUUGUAGAUUUCUCAAUCCUGACUUCACUGAUAUUUACAUGUUUUUCUCAGGUUCCUCGACAUGUCCCUAUGCUAUGGUUUUUUGUAAUGCAGAAGAUUGGCUACUGAGAUUGGAACUUCGUCCACCACACUACAACUGUUAAAUUAGGAUUUCCUCAUGAUGUAUCUUAUAGAUACAUUUGGUGUAUUAUGUCUACAAUAAUAAGUAGUAGUUAUAUUUUUGGUGUAUUACGUCUACAAUAACAAUGCUUGCAAAUGGUUUAACUAAACAGUACUUGUGUUUGUUGUACGUAUUGUGAAUAUAUAUAGUAGUAUUCUAUUAAGCAUGUAUUGCAGUAAUCUUGUGCUCAAUUAACUUAGAUGCUAUUAAACGUUGGUGUUUGCUGCUUUAUUCUUUGAUCAUAUCUAAAUGUUGCAGGAAACAUUAAGUAUUCUCAUUGAUUAAUGUCACCUAUAGGUUAUCAAAAUGCCAGGGACUUGUGAGAAAUUACACGUUCGUCCUCUUUAAACUUUUGUCGCUAAUAUUGUUAAUUUGGCAACUCUCAUCAUUGUUGUUUAUCUAUUCAUACCAAAGAAAUCUCAUUAAUUCUGUCCAUAAUUGCAUAUAUUCUUUUGGUGCAUAUCCUAUCUUAAGACUUAUAUGAGAUCACGUUUUAUGAAUUAACUGUUUUUUUUUUUUUUUUUUUUUUGCCUCCCAUCCUUUUUUCUCUGUCUUGGGUAUGGCAUCGUAGAGCAAAAGGGGAAACACCAAAUGAGAACAGAACCUUGCACGUUACAAGGGUAUUCACGACUGAAGAAUUUCUCAAUAAGGCCUGUUUUAUUGUACAUAGUCUAUUUCUUACUUGGUCUAAAACACAUAUACAAAUUAAUUAUGACGGGCCCGUUGGAUUGUGAAGUGAUAUUGUUUACAUAAAAGUACAUUUAAGCCGGAAUUUUCAGCCCGCGCUCACUAUCCCUUUUAGUUGUUCAGCAAAUGAAUGUGCAUAGUAUCAUUUCUAUUUUGUAAAUGUAGUCAACUUGGGGCUAUUACUUUUUUUCUUUUUCUUUUUUGUGUGGUCCUACUACACAUUAAAGUAAGUAUGAAAUUAUCUUCGCUAAUAUCGGACCUCUUUUGUGCAGUGAUUUAGGCAUAAGCCCGUGCAGCUAUCUAGUAUAUAUUAGAAAUGACAGUUUGGGGUGGGCGAACAGGGACGAACAGGGAUAGUUUGGUAAUUACGUGUUCAUUUAGGGAUUAAUUGGUAAUUUGAUUAUCAUUCUUUUCAACGAAAACACGUGAUCUGCAUCUUUCAUUUUGUGUGAACACGUGUGCAAUUGUGACUUGUACAAAAUUUAAUAAGAGUUGUAUUCUUUUGAAAAUACUGCUUGAAUGAAAACAGGUUUCCCACACGUGUCAUAACCGCUUUCUUCCUUCAUAUUUCUUCUUCCGCGAAGUUCUCGACUUCUUCAGAGAGGAUCGACGAGUGUUGUUGAUUGCCGAAGCUUUUUCAUUCUCUAUCGACUUCUUCUUCUUCUCCGAGUUUUCUUUUGUGAUUUUCUCUGUUUUUGCACUCCUGUGUCUCCUAUCUUCGAUUUCUUUAGUUCCAAUGGAUUUGUUGUUGUUUCAAUUGAUAAAUUGGGGUUUUGAUCUUUCAUGAAGACCAAGAUUAUUGUGAAACAGAAAGAAAAUCUUAAUCUUGAAAGGUGACGGGAAUGGCAGGGAGUCCUAUUUUUUCCUCUUCUCAUUCGUAUCCUCCAUCUUCAUUCGCAACUGACUCCCAUAGCAUAAAUUGAAUUUACUGAAGGCUAUUGUGCAGUCGAUGGCAUCAAGAAAAACUCAAUAGGAAAGAAUAGACAAAGGCUAUGUCAAUAAAAUUCCCCAAAGUUGGGCUUGCAUUAGAGGCAACGGGGUUGAUGAAAAUCAAGGCGAGGUAGAUAAAGAGUAGAUCACUAGACGUCAUUUUUGAAUUUCUGAAAGUCUACAUUCGCUGAAAAGUCAAUUCUUUUGGCUUGAAUAUGGGCAAGAUAGGAAGUGGUUGUUUCCAUCAGUGAAGAAAGUUGUCAAACAUUCUCCCAAGGAUUCAUCAGAAAAGAAGGUUUGCUAAAGAAUUCGAUUAUUCUAAGAUCGUAUUUGGUGGUACCUCAAAAUCUC